rnacentral:rRNA from 1 species
AAUCAACGCUGGCGGCGUGCCUCAGACAUGCAAGUCGAACGCGAAAGGCCCCUUCGGGGGCCCGGUAGAGUGGCGCACGGGUGAGUAACACGUAGGUAAUUUGCCUUCGGGUGGGGAAUAACAGCCGGAAACGGCUGCUAAUACCGCAUAAUGCAGCGGCUCGACAUCGAGACAGUUGUUAAAGCGGGGAUCGCAAGACCUCGCGCCUGAAGAGAAGCCUGCGGCAGAUUAGCUUGUUGGUGAGGUAAUGGCUCACCAAGGCGACGAUCUGUAACCGGCCUGAGAGGGCGGUCGGUCACACUGACACUGACAUACGGGUCAGACUCCUACGGGAGGCAGCAGUCGGGAAUUUUGGGCAAUGGGCG